rnacentral:rRNA from 1 species
CCUACGGGAGGCAGCAGUGGGGGAUAUUGCACAAUGGGGGGAACCCUGAUGCAGCGACGCCGCGUGGGUGAAGAAGCGCCUCGGCGCGUAAAGCCCUGUCAGCAGGGAAGAAAAUGACGGUACCUGACGAAGAAGCCCCGGCUAACUACGUGCCAGCAGCCGCGGUAAUACGGAGGGGGCAAGCGUUAUCCGGAUUUACUGGGUGUAACGGGGGCGCAGACGGCGAGGCAAGCCAGACGUGAAAGCCCUGGGCCCAACCCCGGGACUGCUCUUGGAACUGGGUGGCUGGAGUGCAGGAGAGGCAGGCGGAAUUCCUGGUGUAGCGGUGAAAUGCGUAGAGAUCAGGAGGAACACCGGUGGCGAAGGCGGCCUGCUGGACUGCAACUGACGCUGAGGCCCGAAAGCGUGGGGAGCAAACAGGAUUAGAUACCCGGGUAGUC